rnacentral:rRNA from 1 species
GUCUACGAGAAAAGGGUAGCAAUAUCCUGAGUAAAGUGGCGCACGGGUGAGUAACACGUAGGUAAUCUGCCUUUAGGACGGGAACAACCACGCGAAAGCGUGGCUAAUACCCGAUGAUGCAGCGGCUCCGCAUGGAGACAGUUGUUAAAUCCCGCAAGGGGCCUAUUGACGAGCCUGCGUCUGAUUAGCUAGUUGGUGAGGUAACGGCCCACCAAGGCUACGAUCAGUAGCUGGUCUGAGAGGAUGAUCAGCCACACUGGAACUGAGACACGGUCCAGACUCCUACGGGAGGCAGCAGUGAGGAAUAUUGCGCAAUGGCCGAAAGGCUGACGCAGCGACGCCGCGUGAAGGAUGAAGUUCGUUAGAAUGUAAACUUCUUUUGUAGGGGAUGAAUGUUCCGUUUUACGGAAUUGACUGUACCCUGCGAAUAAGGAUCGGCUAACUACGUGCCAGCAGCCGCGGUAAUACGUAGGAUCCGAGCGUUGUCCGGAAUUACUGGGUGUAAAGGGCGUGUAGGUGGGUCUCUAAGUCGGUGGUGAAAUCUUGCAGCUUAACUGUAAAAUUGCCAUCGAUACUGGAGGUCUUGAGUACGGCAGAGGGAAAUGGAAUUCAUGGUGUAGCGGUGAAAUGUGUAGAUAUCAUGAAGAACACCGGUAGCGAAGGCGGUUUCCUGGUCCGUUACUGACACUGAGGCGCGAAAGCGUG